GGCUCAGAUUGAACGCUGGCGGCAGGCCUAACACAUGCAAGUCGAGCGGUAGAGAGAAGCUUGCUUCUCUUGAGAGCGGCGGACGGGUGAGUAAUGCCUAGGAAUCUGCCUGGUAGUGGGGGAUAACGUUCGGAAACGGACGCUAAUACCGCAUACGUCCUACGGGAGAAAGCAGGGGACCUUCGGGCCUUGCGCUAUCAGAUGAGCCUAGGUCGGAUUAGCUAGUUGGUGGGGUAAUGGCUCACCAAGGCGACGAUCCGUAACUGGUCUGAGAGGAUGAUCAGUCACACUGGAACUGAGACACGGUCCAGACUCCUACGGGAGGCAGCAGUGGGGAAUAUUGGACAAUGGGCGAAAGCCUGAUCCAGCCAUGCCGCGUGUGUGAAGAAGGUCUUCGGAUUGUAAAGCACUUUAAGUUGGGAGGAAGGGUUGUAGAUUAAUACUCUGCAAUUUUGACGUUACCGACAGAAUAAGCACCGGCUAACUCUGUGCCAGCAGCCGCGGUAAUACAGAGGGUGCAAGCGUUAAUCGGAAUUACUGGGCGUAAAGCGCGCGUAGGUGGUUUGUUAAGUUGGAUGUGAAAUCCCCGGGCUCAACCUGGGAACUGCAUUCAAAACUGACUGACUAGAGUAUGGUAGAGGGUGGUGGAAUUUCCUGUGUAGCGGUGAAAUGCGUAGAUAUAGGAAGGAACACCAGUGGCGAAGGCGACCACCUGGACUAAUAC
rnacentral:rRNA from 1 species